rnacentral:tRNA from 1 species
AUAAAGGUAGCCUAGUGGACAUGGGCAUCUGCCCGGUAAGCGGAACACUGUGGGUUUGAUUCCCAUCCCUGGACACUUUAUU